GUCAUCCUCGAAUGUUUGCCAGCCAAGAAGUCCCUGAGCCGAUAAUUUUUACCCGGCUUCUUUCUGUCGACAUUGUUGUGCUAUGCCGUUCAUCGGAAAGCCUGAUAUGAAGCGAAAGUCGCCACCUUGAACUCUUCGGUUCAAGGCCACGUUGGCAGCGGCAUUCUGGGAUUUUA
rnacentral:other from 1 species